UCAGAAGGAGAGCACUACCUGGAAUGGAAUCCAGGGGCAAGCACAGGAGGGGUACGGCUGGAAAAACCGCCGUGCAACCCAAAGGUGUGACGCAUACCGAACUAAGGUAGGGAAAUGUGUGAGCCGGCUGCCGAGAAAAGCCGCUAUUGUUUGUACUGUACCCGUACCGUAAACCGACACAGGUGGAUGAGGAGAGAAUCCUAAGGCCGACGGAAGAAGCAUUGCUAAGGAACUCGGCAAAAUGACCCUGUAACUUCGGGAGAAAGGGUGCCUCGAAAGAGGCCGCAGAGAAUAGGCCCAAGCAACUGUUUAGCAAAAACACAGGUCUAUGCAAAACCGCAAGGUGAAGUAUAUGGGCUGACGCCUGCCCGGUGCUGGAAGGUUAAGGGGAGAUGUCAGGAGACGAAGCAUCGAACUUAAGCCCCAGUAAACGGCGGCCGUAACAAUAACGGUCCUAAGGUAGCGAAAUUCCUUGUCGGGUAAGUUCCGACCCGCACGAAAGGCGUAAUGAUUUGGGCGCUGUCUCGGCAAUGCAUCCGGUGAAAUUGAAGUGCCAGUGAAGAUGCUGGCUACCCGCGCCAGGACGGAAAGACCCCAUGGAGCUUUACUCCAGCUUGAUACUGGGAUUCGGUAUUGUAUGUACAGGAUAGGUGGGAGGCUGAGAAAUGGUGACGCCAGUCGCCAUGGAGCCGCUGUUGGGAUACCACCCUUGCAGUACUGGAUUUCUAACCAGCAGCCGUGAUCCGGCUGGGGGACAAUGUCAGGUGGGGAGUUUGACUGGGGCGGUCGCCUCCGAAAGGGUAUCGGAGGCGCUCAAAGGUUCCCUCAGAAUGGUCGGAAACCAUUCGAAGAGUGCAAAGGCAGAAGGGAGCUUGACUGCGACACCGACGGGUGGGGCAGGUACGAAAGUAGGACUUAGUGAUCCGGUGGUAUUAAGUGGGAAUGCCAUCGCUCAACGGAUAAAAGCUACCCUGGGAUAACAGGCUUAUCACUCCCAAGAGUUCACAUCGACGGAGUGGUUUGGCACCUCGAUGUCGGCUCAUCGCAUCCUGGGGCUGUAGUAGGUCCCAAGGGUUGGGCUGUUCGCCCAUUAAAGCGGUACGCGAGCUGGGUUCAGAACGUCGUGAGACAGUUCGGUCCCUAUCCGGCGUGGGCGUAGGAUAUUUGAGAGGAGCUGACCUUAGUACGAGAGGACCGGGUUGGACUGACCUCUGGUGCACCGGUUGUCAUGCCAAUGGCACAGCCGGGUAGCCAAGUCGGGAAGGGAUAAACGCUGAAGGCAUCUAAGCGUGAAGCCCCCCUCAAGAUGAGAUAUCCCCCGCAUAAGCGGUAAGACCCCUUGAAGACGACGAGGUAGAUAGGGCAGAGGUGGAAGUGCAGUAAUGUACGGAGCUGACUGCUACUAAUAGGUCGAAGGCUC
rnacentral:rRNA from 1 species